UACGUAGGGUGCGAGCGUUGUCCGGAAUUAUUGGGCGUAAAGAGCUCGUAGGCGGUGUGUCACGUCGGCCGUGAAAACCUGCAGCUUAACUGUGGGCGUGCGGUCGAUACGGGCAUCACUGGAGUUCGGCAGGGGAGACUGGAAUUCCUGGUGUAGCGGUGAAAUGCGUAGAUAUCAGGAGGAAGACCGAUGGCGAAGGCAGGUCUCUGGGCUGACACUGACGCUCAUGCACGAAAGCGUGGGGAGCAAACAGG
rnacentral:rRNA from 1 species